GACGAACGCUGGCGGCGUGCUUAACACAUGCAAGUCGAACGGAAAGGCCCUGCUUUUGUGGGGUGCUCGAGUGGCGAACGGGUGAGUAACACGUGAGUAACCUGCCCUUGACUUUGGGAUAACUUCAGGAAACUGGGGCUAAUACCGGAUAGGAGCUCCUGCUGCAUGGUGGGGGUUGGAAAGUUUCGGCGGUUGGGGAUGGACUCGCGGCUUAUCAGCUUGUUGGUGGGGUAGUGGCUUACCAAGGCUUUGACGGGUAGCCGGCCUGAGAGGGUGACCGGCCACAUUGGGACUGAGGUACGGCCCAGACGCCUACGGGAGGCAGCAGUGGGGAAUAUUGCACAAUGGGCGGAAGCCUGAUGCAGCAACGCCGCGUGCGGGAUGACGGCCUUCGGGUUGUAAACCGCUUUCGCCUGUGACGAAGCGUGAGUGACGGUAAUGGGGAAAGAAGCACCGGCUAACUACGU
rnacentral:rRNA from 1 species